CCUCCGGGAGGCAGCAGUGGGGAAUAUUGGGCAAUGGGCGCAAGCCUGACCCAGCAACGCCGCGUGAAGGAAGAAGGCUUGCGGGUUGUAAACUUCUUUUAAGGGGGACGAACAAAUGACGGUACCCCUUGAAUAAGCCCCUGCUAACUACGUGCCAGCAGCCGCGGUAAUACGUAGGUGGCAAGCGUUAUCCGGAUUUAUUGGGUGUAAAGGGCGUGUAGGCGGGAGGGCAAGUCAGGUGUGAAAACUCCGGGCUCAACCCUGAGCCUGCAUUUGAAACUGUGUUUCUUGAGUGCUGGAGAGGCAAUCGGAAUUCCGGGUGUAGCGGUGAAAUGCGUAGAUAUACGGAGGAACACCAGUGGCGAAGGCGGAUUGCUGGACAGUAACUGACGCUGAGGCGCGAAAGCGUGGGGAGCAAACAGGAUUAGAUACCCUAGUAGUC
rnacentral:rRNA from 1 species